ensembl:lncRNA
UUUAAUCCAGGGGCGCCUGGGUGGCGCAGUCGGUUAAGCGUCCGACUUCAGCCAGGUCACGAUCUCGCGGUCCGUGAGUUCGAGCCCCGCGUCGGGCUCUGGGCUGAUGGCUCAGAGCCUGGAGCCUGUUUCCUAUUCUGUGUCUCCCUCUCUCUCUGCCCCUCCCCCGUUCAUGCUCUGUCUCUCUCUGUCUCAAAAAUAAAUAAACGUUGAAAAAAAAAACUUAAAAAAAAAAGAAUUUAAGCCAAUAUUCAUGUACAUUGUCUGGCACCAUGUUAAAAAAUAAUAGCUAUUACAAUUGGUGGUUAUGUAGGUACCAGAAUUCGAAGGCACAGGAUUGCUAUUUUUUGAUAGUGUAAGAAAGCAAGGGGUCUGGCCAUUAGCUUAUUGCUUUACCAAGAUUUGUAUCCUUUGGGGUGACUAAAAUAUAUUUGUUAGGUAAAUGAAUGAAUAUGAGGAUACAAUGAGUUUUUAAAUUGUUUGUUAAUUCAUCUAUUAAUUUAUUCAGCAAGUGAUCACUGGGUACUUACUAUGUGACACAUGAACUUACUUGGCAGUGGAAAAGGCAGACGUUAACUAAAUUAAAUUACCCAUAAAUUUAAAACUAUAACUAAAUUUCUGCAAAAAUCAUAAAGACAUUUAAAUUAGUUGAGUUAUGAAGGCAUAAGAUCAUAUCUCUUUUUGUAGAUGUUGAGCUGGUUAACAGAUAGAAGUUGAUUCCAUGAAUUCAAGCCAGAAUGCGGAAUGACACUUGUAACAAGUUUUGCUCAUCUGCGAGGGUUUACAGAAGAAAGCACUGCAUUUCAGCCAGACUGUGGGAUGAUGGAAUAAUAUUGUCACAGAAUUCUUGCAAAGUAGGUUGCCUUUGCUGUCUAUUGGUAUUUUCUGGUUUACAAUACAGCACAGGAACUAUGUCUAGAUUGUCUGCCAUAAGGCAAUUAUCAGUUUUUAAUUAGCCUUUGGUGAUAUUUUCAAAAGUUUUAUUGACUUGGCUAUGACAAAUAUAAAGUGAUCAAAGUGGGAGAAAAAGCACUCUAAGCAGCUUGUUAUUUUAAAAAUAAUUGCUUAUCCACAGGUUUAUUUGUCUUAAUCCAAUUGAAUUUUUUUCCUUAAAACAGAUUUAUUUGUAGAUGGGACAUGGUUCUCUAGAUCCCCCAAAUACGUAGCUCUGAUUCUUAGCAGUUUCCUUAAUUUUUUCAAUCUGAAUUUCCAAGUUACUCCCUCUUGUCUGACUUAAAUCUCCUUUAUUCUAAUUAAAACACUUAAGCCCAUAUCCCAUUUUGGGUCUUGAAAGGUAGCUCCUAAGCCUUCUUGGCGUACUAUUUAGCAAUGAUUGUAUAGAGAAUUCCUAUUUUGGUGAAAUGGUAUUGGCAGAAUGUUACUGUGGCGUUAUCUGUUUCCUAUCUUAAAAAACACUGGUGUUCUUCACAAAGCACAGUGCUCAUAAUGGGCUUCUACAAAAAGAGGGGAGGUGGGCACCCCAAAUUGCAAGACUUGCUUCAUGGAAAAUGAAUGGGAAGAAGGCACAGAGUGAUUGGCAAAUGUAGGAAGGGGCAACUUUAGGAACUCUCUCAAAUUGGGAGGCUUUAUUAAGCACAAAUGGAUAAAUAUCCUUCUUUGUGGAAUUAUGUUCAUAUGCCAUGUCUAGAGACAAAAACUAACAGACUGAUGUUUAUCUACAGUCACAUAUUGUAUGUUAUUCUCUGGCAUUUUUCUUUUCUUUUGUGAAAUUUCUAGUUCUAGCUAGGAAUGAGCCACAAUGAAACAAUGAUUACAUUAAAAAUCCACUGGAGGAAAAAAGAUGGAAAAGAAUUUACCCAAUCUUAAUGGUAGUUGAGCUUAGAUGAGCUCUGUAUAAUUUUACUUUAUAAUUUCUACUUUUCUAUAAUUUUAGAUUUCUUUGAGAAGUAUGUUUCAAUGAGUAUUUAUAACUUUAAAAAAUGAGUUUGCAUUUUAUCUAAAUAAAGAAAUCAAAUGGAUACA